rnacentral:tRNA from 1 species
GCCCAGGUGGCGAAAUUGGUAGACGCACUACUUUGAGGUGGUAGCGCCCGAAAGGGUGUGCUGGUUCGAAUCCAGUUCUGGGCA